rnacentral:rRNA from 1 species
GACGAACGCUGGCGGCGUGCUUAACACAUGCAAGUCGAACGAAGUGGCGAACGGGUGAGUAACGCGUAAUCAACCUGCCCUUCAGAGGGGGACAACAGUUGGAAACGACUGCUAAUACCGCAUACUGAAGGAGGGGAGUGCGUCUGAUUAGCUCGUUGGAGGGGUAACGGCCCACCAAGGCGGUGGUCAGUGGCCGGGCUGGGAGGAUGAACGGCCACAUGGGGACUGGGACACGGCCCAGACUCCUUCGGGAGGGAGCAGGGGGGAAUCUUCCGCAAUGGACGAAAGUCUGACGGAGCAACGCCGCGUGGGUGAUGACGGGCUUCGGGUUGUAAAGCUCUGUUAAUCGGGACGCGGUACCGGAAUAGAAAGCCACGGCUAACUACGUGCCAGCAGCCGCGGUAAUAC